GUCGUCUUAGCUCAAUUGGGAGAGCGCCAGACUGAAGCCCAACUUCUGUCCAAAACGCGCGAUGUAAGUCGCUAGUUAUCUGGAGGUACUGUGUUCGAUCCACAGAGACGACA
rfam:Xylona heveae TC161 unplaced genomic scaffold L228scaffold_7, whole genome shotgun sequence.